rnacentral:rRNA from 1 species
ACAUGCAAGUCGAACGCUUUUUCUUUCACCGGAGCUUGCUCCACCGAAAGAAAAAGAGUGGCGAACGGGUGAGUAACACGUGGGUAACCUGCCCAUCAGAAGGGGAUAACACUUGGAAACAGGUGCUAAUACCGUAUAACAAGUAAAACCGCAUGGUUUUACUUUGAAAGGCGCUUUUGCGUCACUGAUGGAUGGACCCGCGGUGCAUUAGCUAGUUGGUGAGGUAACGGCUCACCAAGGCAACGAUGCAUAGCCGACCUGAGAGGGUGAUCGGCCACAUUGGGACUGAGACACGGCCCAAACUCCUACGGGAGGCAGCAGUAGGGAAUCUUCGGCAAUGGACGAAAGUCUGACCGAGCAACGCCGCGUGAGUGAAGAAGGUUUUCGGAUCGUAAAACUCUGUUGUUAGAGAAGAACAAGGAUGAGAGUAAAAAGUUCAUCCCUUGACGGUAUCUAACCAGAAAGCCACGGCUAACUACGUGCCAGCAGCCGCGGUAAUACGUAGGUGGCAAGCGUUGUCCGGAUUUAUUGGGCGUAAAGCGAGCGCAGGCGGUUUCUUAAGUCUGAUGUGAAAGCCCCCGGCUCAACCGGGGAGGGUCAUUGGAAACUGGGAAACUUGAGUGCAGAAGAGGAGAGUGGAAUUCCAUGUGUAGCGGUGAAAUGCGUAGAUAUAUGGAGGAACACCAGUGGCGAAGGCGGCUCUCUGGUCUGUAACUGACGCUGAGGCUCGAAAGCGUGGGGAGCAAACAGGAUUAGAUACCCUGGUAGUCCACGCCGUAAACGAUGAGUGCUAAGUGUUGGAGGGUUUCCGCCCUUCAGUGCUGCAGCUAACGCAUUAAGCACUCCGCCUGGGGAGUACGACCGCAAGGUUGAAACUCAAAGGAAUUGACGGGGGCCCGCACAAGC